AGAUAUUUCGUAAGGAGCCAUUCUUCUAUGGACAUGAUAACUACGAUCAGCUAGUGAAACUAGAAAAUCAAUUAGAGUUUAGUUGAUUUCCUGUGAGUGGAAUACUUUAUCAAAGGCCUUAGUUGAUUUCUGAAGGCAUAGCAAUAAGACCAGCUAGUGAACUACUCACAAUUGCAUAAUGCUGACUCA